UGCUACUUAGACACCAAGCAGAGGCCAAUAACAAAGAUGCAUUUAUAGUUAUUUUUAUGCAGUGCUGUGGCCGAUACAAAUUUCUGAAGUCUGUACAGUGCUUUUCACCCAGGGUAAUUGAUGUACAGGCUCUGUCAGACCUUUCAAAUCAGCAGUGCCUCGGGCUUGGUGGUGCUGUCUCUUCCCUUUACCCCUAGCUUUUCUCAGUCUCAUGCAGUUCAAUACUUGCAUCUCCCUCAUUUCUGCUGUGCCGUUUGGCUCCAGUUGUGUGUGCUAAAGCCCAGAGGCCAAUCCGUUAUGAAAAUCAGCUAGUAGCAGCAGCAGGCACCAUUAGCUAAAGAGCAGCUUUCUGCCACAGGGAAACAUCCCGAUGUCACACAGUCCUGGAAGGGAGUGGUCAUGCAGCUUCCUCUGAGCCUCUGUUGGCCAUCAGGGAAGGAGACGAUACAAGAUGUGUGCCCUCUUCAUUGCACCUGUCCUGUUGUUUAGGAGAGAGAUCGCUCCCUCUGCAGAUGCCUCUUAAAAAGGACCUCUUCUCAAAAGGCUUUGAAGAUCUCUAAGCUCCUAACAGGCUGCAUUCUUUUAGUAAAAUGAAAGCAGAAUUCCCUAUUGCCUCCCACCCAGAGGAGAUGAAGAGGAGAUGCCCAUGAAGAUGAACUCUGCCUCCUCUUUGGGAGCAUGGUGAAGGACUGCACAGAGCUGGCACUGCUGGGGCACCCCCUGCACUGGACACAGUUGUGAAUUGAGGAUGAAUAUCACUGAUAAAAUGGAGGUCAACAACUGAACGGCAUCUCGUGGAAAAGAUUCGGAGGUGACCUCAAAACCAAACCUGUCUGAAGGUUUUCGUGGGGCUGGAAUCAGUGGAUGCUGAAGUAGCUCUUAGCUGUGCCAGGAGGCCUCUUAGCGACCAGCACUUAUACAGGCUCACACAUCUCCCACAUCGAAAUCGGCAUUCUUGGAUCCGCUGAGUUUUGAUCCACAGUGAGAUAAGGCCUAAGGGAACUCUCUCUGGAGUGUAUUUCAUUUUGUUCUCUGAAUCAAGAGACGGAGCCCAAAGCAAGACCUGUGGAUGUGAAGAAAUGGGCUCUGAAAGCGCCUGUCCCGCACGUCCCUGCUGUUUGAGACACGGUGAAGCCUGUGCUGGUGGCAGUCACAAGAAGAGCUGUCUGUGCUCAGGUGGCUUCCAGGGCUGUCUGUGCUCAGGGAAAGCUGCCCGCCUGCACAGCGGUACCCACCUCUGAAUAGUUUGCUAUUCUGGGCCCUGUGCAAUUUGGAGACUGACAACUUACCUUAACUGUUGGAGCACCAACCACUUCACAGAGCUCUCCCAGGCACUGCAGUCCCUGCUUCCUGCAUGGAAAGCAUCACCGAUACCAAGCAGGUGGAGAGGGUGGCCUUUCAUAGGAUCAUAGCCUUCAGGACUCUGGGGUGCCACAACUCCUGUUUGAAACAUAUAAUUGCUGUGGCAUUCAGUGCAACUGACGACAGGGAAGCUCGAACCUGGCAACUGCUACCUUAAAAAGUAAUAGAAGAAGGAAGCAAAAACCCCUGGGGAAGCUAUGCAUACAUAGCAAAGGAGGAGCAAUGGGCUUGCAUUGGUAAACUGCUCCAUAGGGCACCCAUUCAGUGCUAUAAAGAAGGCAUCCAGGCUGUGUGUUUCCCAGCUCCUGCAGCGGUAGGAUGGACCAUGAGUGUGCAUAGGAAGGUGCGUGAAGGCAGGCUAUGCUUUCCUGGGCCAGUUCUCUCCCUCUGAGGCUGCUCCGUGCAGAGCCAGCAGUGUGUGCAGCACUGACCAACGUGGUAUUUGAGAGCUUGAGAUCUCACCGUCUACUUUCUCUUUCCAAUUGCCCUCCCACUGUUGUUCUACAGCAUGCGGUGCCUUCAGCCGUGGUUCAGCUGCCAAAGAAGGUGGGGGAGUGCUGUGCUCCCCAGCUCCAUGCGGACCGGGAGAGAGGCAGAGAAACAGAGGAGGCAGGUGCUAUUCUGCAGGUAAUGAAAGCGAUCAGCUGGCUGCCCAUGCAGCACAGCCCUCCUGCCCUCCCCAGUCCUGCUCCCUGCCUUGCCAGGAGCGCACUUGGGUAGAAAGGUCUGAAAAAUCAGGACAGCUUCUAUUCUAUGGGAACAAAAGGUUUCCUUUGUUGUAAUUCCUCUGUUGGGCUCUGCACGAGGCCCUCGCAUGGGGCCCUGCAGCACGUGCCCUGCAUCAUGGGGACAAAAGCAGAUUACUGCAGGGAUGCCUGAAAAGGAGCCAUGACUUGUUCCCUUGUUGCUACAAUCUUGUUUACAGGCUGAGCUUCGCAGGGAGCAAUUCACACAGGUUUCUUUUGCAUUAUAAUAGUAAAGAUUUUUCUUGGUGGGAGAAAAAAAAGAGGAGAGAGGGUGAGGUGAGGAUUUAUCACAGAGCCUUGCCUGAAAUGAUUUAGGCUGUUAAGACCAUUUAUGCUGAAGGAAGUGAUCAGUUUCUGCUUCCCAAACGUCGUCUCCCAGUGCCGUGGGCCUGAUUCAGCAGGGCAGCUCCAUGUGAAGAGAAACGAAGUUGAUGAAGUAUUAGGAGGAGAUGACGGCAGCUAAAGGGGAGUUCAGUGGUUGUCCUUCACUUUUGUCUUCUGUCUUUUCAAGCUUAAGGCAGCAACUUCCAAAAUUCUUCGUGAGCCAAUCAGAGCACUGAUGGAGGGAACACCUUCAGCCACUGCACCUUAACAGCCACCUCGAGUGGCCCUGUGCUGGGUUUUUAAUCAUAUGAUGGCUUUUAAUUGAUGCUUUCUGUAAUAAACGAGGGGCUGCUGUGUUUUCACUGGGUUAUUCACUUGCUUCUGUAGUAGCUUUCAGUUGCAUGAUGCACAAACGGAGUGCAGCCUUCAGAAGUGACCCGUGGGACUUGAGGGCUGAUCCACCGCUACUGAAACGGUAGGACCAAAUUCUGCUGCCUGCUGGAUGCUGGGCCUCAAAGCAGGGGUGCAGAGAGGUGUAGAAAGCAGCAGUGCUCCCUGCUGAGCUCCGUGCAUGGGGCUGCUGCUCAUGGCUGGUGGGACAAAGCACUGCAGUGCAGACUGUGCUGCUGAACGCCAACAUAGGCUGAGCACUGGGGGGGCUGCAGCUCCUUUGAGGGCAGGUAGAGGACUUCCAUUUUAUUUUACUUUCCUUUCCCCUUUCCCCUCCUUUCCUUUUUCCUUACCGUUUUCCUUUCCCCUCCUUUCCUUUCCCUUUCCCCUCCUGUCCUUUUUCCUUUCCUUUUUCCUUUCCCUUUCCCCUCCUGUCCUUUUUCCUUUUCUUUUUCCUUUUCUUUUCCCUUUCCUUUUUCCCUUCCCCUUUCCCCUCCUGUCCUUUUCCUUUUUCCUUUUCCUUUUCCCUUUCCUUUUUCCCUUCCCCUUCCCCUUUCCCCUUUCCACUCCUGUCCUUUUCCUUUUUCCCUUUCCUUUUUCCCUUUCCCUUUCCCCUCCUGUCCUUUUCCUUUUUCCCUUUCCUUUUUCCUUUUCUUUUUCCUUUCUUUUCCCCUUUCCCCCCCUGUCCUUUUUCCUUUUUCCUUUUCCCUUUCCUUGUUCCCUUUCCC
ensembl:lncRNA